GGGUGAAUAGUUUCAAUCGGGAGAAACGCAAGGUUGUCAUGCAUUUACACUUGACCAUUGCCUUGAGGCGGUAGAUCAAAACUACCUUCGCCCU